rnacentral:lncRNA from 1 species
GUGCAACCUGAAUAUAUACAACAUAAUGUACAUUGAGUAUUGACAUAAUGAUUCAGCCAGCCAAAUAGGCUUAUGAUGCACUAUCAUGUUUUAACUAUAAAUAUUAAAUAUUUAAAUAUUUAAAUACAUGUAAACUUUAUAUACAUUCUUUAACAAUAACAAAAAAGUGGUUUGAUCAACAAAAAUAAACUCGUGUAUCUACGACAAAUAUAGUUAUUAACAUCUUGAUUGGUUUUUGUUUAAUGCAAAUAUUUAAUUAUAAUCUUUCAUACUUUCAAUUUUAAGCUAGAAAAUCUGUCAAAAUUAAAAAUACAUACUCUGUUUGGUUCAUUUUAUUUUUUCCGUUUUCGUGCAACAACUGUAGCUUCAUGUUUUACACGAACUUAAUUCUUUGCUUUAUCCACAGACUAAACUGUUGUUCAGUAAAUCGAUAUCUCGCCCUCGUUUUUGUGUAGAACAAUUACAGUGGAAUUUAAAUCUUUUGAUAUGUGUUAACAAUAUGUUAAACUGCCUGCUUUGCAUUUUUUUACAUAAUUAUUCUAUACACCACUGAAUCAGGGUAGAAAUCAAUGAUAUGAAAAAUAUCUCGAGAUCAUAUCUACAAACUUCUUUAGUUGAUAGUCUUCUAGACCAUAUGUAAACGUAUCAGUGGUUUUUUUUUUCCUGAUGUCAAAACUAAUGACAACCACAGUACAUGCUUGCACCCUACCAAAAAAAUACUUUUUAAUUAUAUUCAAAAUGAAACACGCGCGAUAUUUAGGAGAUAACUGUAUUGUAUUUUAAGCUCCGACGGCAUCACUUGGGGAUUUGAUGGUCGAAAAUUAAGUUUACUGGCUACGCGUUAGCGGAGAAUGUAAACGGGUAUUUGCGACCAUCAAAUCCCCAAUUGAUGCCGUCGGAGCUUAAAAUACAAUAUUGUUAUUUUCAUUCUAAUGAAACUGACAGAAAACAACGUUAAAACAUGAAAUUAAAAUCUGGCAUAUGUCGUCUGCGCUUGAACGUACGUCCCAUAGCUUCAAUUGUCAAUUGACGCUAUGUGAAAAAAGUGACGUUAUCCCAUCAGAUGAACGUUACAAACGUUGCUGCAUUAGAAUUGAUAAUACAGUAUUAAAAUAACGUAACAGUUGUAAAAUUGAUCAGGAUAUAACAACUUUUUAGUUUAAUAAAUAACGAAUCUAAC